rnacentral:rRNA from 1 species
UGAGAGUUUGAUCAUGGCUCAGAACGAACGCUGGCGGCAUGCCUAACACAUGCAAGUCGAACGCGUGUAGCAAUACACGAGUGGCGCACGGGUGAGUAACGCGUGGGAACCUGCCCUGGAGUGUGGGAUAACCCGGCGAAAGCCGGGCUAAUACCGCAUACGACCUGAGGGUGAAAGAUUUAUCGCUCUAGGAGGGGCCCGCGUCGGAUUAGCUAGUUGGUGAGGUAACGGCUCACCAAGGCGAUGAUCCGUAGCUGGUCUGAGAGGAUGAUCAGCCACACUGGGACUGAGACACGGCCCAGACUCCUACGGGAGGCAGCAGUGGGGAAUAUUGGACAAUGGGGGCAACCCUGAUCCAGCAAUGCCGCGUGGGCGAUGAAGGCCUUCGGGUUGUAAAGCCCUUUUGCACGCGACGAUGAUGACGGUAGCGUGAGAAGAAGCCCCGGCUAACUUCGUGCCAGCAGCCGCGGUAA